rnacentral:lncRNA from 1 species
CAAGUUCAUGAUUUUUCUAAUUUAUACAGAUUUAGGCCACAGAUUCAUUAAUUGGGAUCUGAACUGGGGGGGUGAGGGGGUUGUCAAUUAGUUGCUAUGAGAAUUUUUCUCUAUUAUUUUUAUUCAAAUAGCAUCUUUUCUUUACCCUGCAAAAUUAUUAUUAUAUAUUCUUUAAAUAAACUUUACACCCUAUAUAUACCUAUAUUUCUGUUUCCUGUACCUUAAAAAGAGAUUACAGCUAAUUUCCUAAAGCAUGUAGAGCAAGACUUAGGUUACCUUGCUUGCUUUGUUUGUAUAUUGUACAAUAAUAAUUUAGAUAACAUCCAAUUGAAUUUCACUAUAAUAUUUACAGGUUUAAGUUUGCCUAUAUUUAUUGUUUGAAGAUGACAAUCUUAAGUGCUUUAAGCUUU